UUAAUCAAAAUAAAAUAAAAGCAAAUACCUAAAGAGCAGCAGUAAAAUAAAAUAACAGAAGGGAGGCUAUAUACAUUAUGGACCAUAACCGUGAACCAAUCGUCUUAAUACAUUCAUUUUAGGAGAAGGGGGAUUCUACUUUAUAUUCAAAAACAUAUAGUUUACCCAAUAGAAGUUUUUAAUUUUUAAAUGAAGUGGGUAAAGUUGGCAAUCAUUUUACAAGCAAAACAACACGGUCAGGAGUAGAAGAUUCCUUUCCAAAAGUUCCAAGCGGUCAAAACCAUAUGUUUUUGUGACAAGGGUGUCACCAAAGCUGUGUUGUAUUUAUUAGGUAAGUCAUAGUUUAUUUUCAAAGAUGCAUUACAAGGUAAAAUAAAAUAAAAAAUCACAAUCAUGACAAUGAAUCAUUACCCCAAAUUCCAUAAUGCUCACAGCCCUUCCUGAUACAUUUAUUUUAAGUAAAUCAGGGAAGCGUCAGAAGUAAGUAGUGUAUAUUGUUGCGGCCUUAACCCCAAUACCAGGAAUGGGAAUAUAUAGGGACAGUAGUGGAGUUAGUGACUGACAGAUCUGCUUAGAGGGCUCGAGGUCUGCUUAGAGCAACGAUUUUCACAUUUGGGUCGUGGGAGGUUUUGAAUGGGUCGUGGGUGACGGAGUAAAAAAAACAACAUUUGGAAGUAAAAUGUUUCUAAAUAUUGUGUAUAGACACAUUUAUAACUAUCAUGAAUGGAACAAAAGUAAUUUGACAAUCCACAUUCUAGCCUCGGAAAUCCCAGACCUAUUCUGGAACAUUGUUACAUUUGUUGUAGGCAACCCGUCUGCCUGUAGGGAGACUAUCCACACUCCAUUUUCAUCUGUUUUCAGAUCAGUUACCUAGUCUCACCUAUAGGCCUUUGUAGUAGUACUAUAUUUUUAGGUGUGCAUGCAAAGCAAUGCACAACACUAGGUUUCUUACAAACUCAUAUUAUUUUUUAUUGUUAUUUGAUUUAUUUGGCUCGCUCUAGCGCUUAAACAAUUGAAGUUAUUAACACGAAACCAACUUCCAAAUGUGCAGACUGCCCCAACUCGGGUUGCUUGAGAAAAUAUGUUUGAUGGCAUUUAUACUUUUUGAACUAUAUAACAAUAUUGUAAAUCAGCUCCGAUGCAGGGAAACGGGCCGUAGACUUGAAUGCUAAAAAGAUUAUUGCAAUUUGUACACACAUCUCCUCUUUCACCGUUUAUGUUAUCAACUGCCCCAAAUGAGGUUGCUUGAGCGUUUCUUUCAGAUAGCAUUUAUACUUCUUGUACUACAACAAUAUUUAAAUGAGCUCCCAAUGCAUGUUAAUGGCAAUAAAAAUGCCAUAGACUUACAUGGGGGGAAUGUUGAAAUGUAUCUCCUCCUACACCAUUAAGCUGUCAAUUUAUACUUUUCAUACUAUAAGCAUCUAAUUUGCAUACAUUAACAUGGGUUUGAAUUAGACUUAACUAUGAUUAUAUACAUUUGCAUAAAAUAAAUCAAAUUCAAGCUACAUUCACCAAACCAACUUUCAGUAUGUAGGUUAAUGUGUUCUUGGGAAGCCUAACAUGUUGUACAGGUCUUAUAGUAAUAUGCCUAUGGAGGUAAGACAGGGUGUACUGUAUGUCUGAUAGUAAUAUGCCUAUGAAGGUAAGACAGGGUGUACUGUAUGUCUUAUAGUAAUAUGCCUAUGUAGGUAAGACAGGGUGUACUGUAUGUCUUAUAGUAUUAUGCCUAUGUAGGUAAGACAGGGUGUACUGUAUGUCUUAUAGUAUUAUGCCUAUGUAGGUAAGACAGGUGAAUUGUGCUGAAUUGUAAGCAAUGAGCUACUUACUGUGAGAGUGUCUGGGAAAUAAUUGUACUUUAUUCUUCUUUCCAGUUUUAACUGUUGUUGUAUUUGUGGUCCUCUGUAGCUCAGCUGGUAGAGCACGGCGCUUGUAACGCCAAGGUAGUGGGUUCGAUCCCCGG